GUCAAUAUUUCGAAAUUUUGAAUUUAAUACUAAUAUUUCUGUAAAUAAAAUUAAAAAAAAAAACAAAAAACGCAGCACAACAGAUAUGUAACACAUAUCAAAAUACAUGAAUUUGUAUCGGUGGCCACAGAGAUACUGGAGACAAAUAAAAAAUAUAAAUGAAUUGUAGGGAGUAAAGCAAAAGGAGGAGUAGAAAAUAGCAACUAAACUGUUCCUUCGUGCUGAUUUGGGCAAAAGAGUGAGCUGAAAUACUUGUGUGGAAAAAAUUAUUAUAUAAAACAAAUGGCUCUCAAUAUCAGGAAUUGGCGGCAAAUGCAGUCUCUUUAGGUGUUCUUUAAUUAGUCUUGCCUUUGGCGCUGUGGAGAAAGAUAUUUCCGAAGGACUUGUUGCAUUUAAGUAAUGAUGCAGCAUGCGAGCGUUUUGCACUGUCAGCGCGCCAUUAGAAGUAUGCGCGUCAUCGGCCGAACAACUGUCACCAGGAUCACGCUUUUUAGCACUAAGACUUUUGGGAAACCAGCAGCCGAAAACACUAUACUUCCUAGUCGAUGCCAAGAGUCGAGUGAGAGAAGUGUACACACAAACAUGCCUACAUUUUGCAGCGCAAGGCAUGCUCGAUACAGAAUUGUUCGGUUUGGCGGUGCUCAUCGAUGGCGAAUACAUGUUUGCGGAUCCGGAGAGCAAACUCUCCAAGUACGGCCCGAAGAGUUGGCGAUCCUCGCACACACACGGCCUCGACGCAAAUGGACGACCUCUUUUGGAAUUGCAUUUCCGUGUACAAUUUUACAUCGAGAGCCCAUUUCUAUUGAAAGAUGAGAUAUCCCGUCACAAUUACUAUCUACAAUUAAAAUAUAAUGCUCUACAACGGGAAAUGCCUAAAGAAUAUUCGGAACAGUCGAUGAUAUUACUCGCCGGAUUAGCACUACAAGCGGACUUGGGUGACGCACCCGCUGCAACUCAAACAAUUGCAGCAACAUCAAAGGGCACAACAUUAAAAUCCUUAGUAUCGGAAGAGGGCGGUUGUGGUGGUCUUGUGGAGUGUGACCACCUAGGCCUGCUUUCUUCGCAUGUCACAAGCUCCACGGCCAGCACAAACGAAGUCACAAAUUUAGCAGCAAAAGCUAUAGAAACAACAACAACAACAACUACAAAAGAAACGACAGCAGCGGCAGCAGCUGGAAUAGCAACAACAACAUUGCCAAAGAGCAACAAACGUAUCAGUAAUGAGAACGAUCGAGUGCUUCGUCUUUCAAAUUUUUUAACAGCAAGAAAUUCCACAGCCUCAACACUUAACACGUCGCCCCUAGUUGCUAAUACAAAAAUAAAAGAAAGCUGGGAAAGAGAGAAGGAAAGGGAAAGGGAAGCAUUAACACCAACAUCAAUGCCCGCCUCAUCGAGCUCUUCGUCCACGUCGGUUUUCCCUAUUAGUGGCAAUUUGAAGAGUAGUCUGGGAGCAAUGGCAGCCUCCUUUUCAGCUUCUUCAUCGAUUUCUUCAAUAAACCGAAGUAGUUCAUCCAAUACACCACCAACAACUUCAUCGAGUACGUCACUAUCAGCUCUGGGGCAAACGCAGACACAAACAUCGACACAGGACUAUUUUUGUGUGAAAGACUAUCUGCCCACCGAGCUGUGCACGGCUUGGGCAGUAAGCGCAUUGCAGGCUUGUCAUCGCGAAAAUCGUGGUAUGUCGGCGUUGGACGCAGAGGUGCACUAUAUUCAACACGCCAGCAUGGUACACGAGUGCGUCAAUUCGCACAUAUUUCGAAUGCGUUCAACAAAAAGCGAAAACGGUUUGGGCAGCUCGUGGUUUGUUAUUUAUUCGAAGGGCAUAAAAAUUUUCAGCUCCUCUGAAAAUCCUCAACAGCAAACUACCUUCUUAUGGCCGAGCAUUACAAAGCUGUCAUUCGAGCGGAAGAAGUUUGAGAUUCGAUCAGGUGACUGCAAAAUCUUACUUUAUGCCACUUCGGACGAGAAAAACAAAAUGCUAUUGACAUUGUGUCGCGAAACUCAUCAGUUCAACAUGAAGAUAGCCGCACGUCUUAAAGAGGUCAUUAAGCGCGAAGAAGAAGAAAGUAAUUGUAUUCACGCUUGCUACAUUUAUUCGCGCAGUCUGCAUUUGCCCUAUAAAAACAAAAGUGACCAGCGUAUAUCGGUUAUAUCCAGCACUAGUUCUAACACCACCUCGGGCAUUGUCAGUGAUCGUGUUCAUUCUGAGGAUGAGGUUGAGAUAAUGAUAAAUACACCGCCGGCACCGAUUGCAGCACCUUCCACAGAAAGUUUAGCUUUGGCACAUCUACUGGAUCGGCCAAGCGUUAGCAGGCAAACUUCAUCAGUCGGUCAAGUCUCGUUAAAAGAUCUAGAAGAGCAGUUGGCAGCACUUUCCGUACGUCAGGAACGUCAAAAGCAGCACUCGAAUUCUGUUAAUUCCGGUGAUGAAUCGCCUGUUGAGAGAAGUCAUACUUCAGCAGGAAAUUCUUCUAGCAGCAGCUCGAACCAAGCAUCCCAGCGUGCCGCUGACUCUUCGACUGCCACCGACUCACCGAGUUCACAACACAAUAUUGGCUCCCAGUGCUCGUCAACCUGUAGCACCGUCGUAGUUUUGCCAAGCUCGGAUUCUACAUCUAAUACGUUAACGUCUUUGGCUGUACAUUCUGUAAUGAAUUCUACGCCAAUACAGCGACGCAACUCGACCUCGAGUAGUCUUGAAUUGGGGUUUAGUCAUACAGCACAAAAUUCCAUCCUCAGUGAGGCUGAGUCAACUUGUAUUGAUCAUGAUUUUGCAUCUUCCACUCGGGAUGAAAAUGAAAGCAUUUCUGGAGUGUACACACUGGCCCACGGCGCACCGCCCACUGAGACUUCUGGCGUAUACACUAUGCAUAGCAGUGAAAUGACCGGGCAAUCGUCAGAGAUUGCCGAGUCUGAAAAAAGCUCACAUUAUGGCGUUUUCCAACCGACAAAAUGCGAGAUAAAUGCUGAUAAUUUGCAUGAAAGUCAUUCUAAUCUGGACUCAGUCGAUGGAGGGAAUUAUCUUGGUAAACGCAUCAAGAACGAAGAGUUCCGUCUACGUUCAGACUCCAAUGUAAGCACAAGUGGUUCAUUCCGAGGAGAUGGCAGUGAUCCAACCGACAACAAGCACAAUCUUCUCUCUGCAGAGGAAUUAACUGACCUAAUUGUGGGUCGUGGCACAUACCCUAAUCGUAAAACGGUGUCAAGUACUUUGGACUCGGAUUGUGAUUACGUUACCUUGCCAUUGCCCAUUAAAGGAGAAUCAUACAUUCAAGGUCACCAAGACACUGCGCCAACCGAGGAUCAAGUUGAAGACUUAAUUAAUGAUUUAAUAUCCACUGAUCCACCGGCACCUCCUCAACGUAUCGACAGUAAUAUUUUGAAGCAAACAAAAAAUCUAACGAGUCUUAGCAACAUACCGAUGCGUUCACCGCCGCCAUAUCACGCUCGCCAUGAAAAAACCGGUCUAUGUGGACCACCAGUGUGUCCUCCAUUAGCACUAAAGCCAAUUAAAAGUGUUGCAAGUAAUGCAAUUGACACAGCUUUCUCCAAAGUGCCAUCGCCCACCAUUCCAGUUGAGGUUACUACGCAAGCAGCUGGUACGCCAACACCACGUGCACCUACAGCUUCAUCUGUCGUUCGUCGCCGUGACCCUCCGCCAUAUCCAACAUCAACCAAGCCCCGUCCCAUGUCAUUAGUUUCGAUAGCUUCUGGCACAUCUUCUCUCACCCAUUCCAAUAACGCGCUUUCUUCCCCGGGAGGCUCCUUGUGCUCCCUAAAAGCCGAAGAGGUCACUGCUCGCUUCAUUACUACUCGACCUCAAAUCAACAUUCUCAAAGCUCAUACCAGUGUAAUUAACGACAAUCAGAAACCCAGUUAUGCUGCACCAACGCAUUGCUCAUCGGCAGCGUCCACUUCCGGAUCAAUUGCCAGCCAGAACGUGACGAGCCAUCUCUCCCAGCAUUCUGUGCACAACUCUCACUAUAUCAGCGGUUCGCAGGUCUCGCUUAAUGGCGAUCACCAUUCGGCUUCCGCCACCAGACAAUCUUCCAUAUCUGCGGCUGCUAUAGCCCAUGCUGCGGCUGCCGCUGCCGCUGGAGCCAGCAUCAUUCCUAACACUAUUGGUAUACCAAUUGUUCCUUAUAGCUUACACGGCACACACAGUAGCAUGUCAUCAUUACACCAACAACCGCCUCCACCACCGCCACCUUAUCCGGAAAUAAAACAAUCCACACGAACUUGUGUGCUUUUACCAGUGAUCAAGCAUCGACAAUUUCUGCCACCGCCACCUCCCAGUCUACCACGGCAACCGCCACCACCACCACCUCCAUCUCAUCUCGGAAGUGUUUAUAGAAAUCAAUUGGCCCGAAAGCAGCUCGAGGUGUACCAACAACAGCUCUACAGCGAUGUUGACUAUGUCAUCUAUCCAAUUCAAGAUCCCGCAGUCAGUCAGCAAGAAUAUCUGGAUGCUAAGCAAAGCUCCAUUUAUGCGGCAAUGGCACAAACACCGCCACAACCACUCCCUCACGCACACCCACCCCCGCCCUCCUACCUGGCAUACCAUACAGGCAGUGCACACGUUGGCUCGUGGGAUACAUGUAAAGGCCACGCCAUCUAUCGCAGUACACCUUACUUGCCACUGACUUUGUCCACACACUCACGUUAUGCAUCGACACAGAAUCUAUCAGAUACAUAUGUACAGCUGCCGAGCACCUAUUCCCCACUCUACAGCCCCUCCAUGGCCAGCUUAUGCUCUUCGUACGAGCCACCUCCACCCCCGCCGUUACAUCCCGCAGCUUUGGCAGCGUCCAAUACAAGUACUACAAAUUUAUUCGCACGGUCACGAUCAGAUGACAAUAUAUUAAAUUCACUUGACUCGCUGCCGAAAGUAAAGCGUAUGCCACCCCCACCACCGCCCCCAUAUGUAAAUCGGCGUUUGAAGAAACCACCGAUGCCGACACCAUCUGAAAAACCCCCACCAAUUCCCUCCAAACCAACCACUUCUAAUAUUUUGCCUUCAAAAAACCAUGUUACGGUGCGAAGCCAAUUACCGCCAAGGAAACCACCCACCUUAAAUACGAAUCGAAGCGUCAACAAUAUGACACGCACAUCCAGCGGUGCACAGUGGGCGGGUGAACGACCGAAGCCUAAUCUGAUUUCAUAUAACGGUGAAAGCAUUCUAGCUCACCUACAAGCCAGUGUUGCGGCGGCCAACCGACAAACCGCCAGCUUAGCAUCAACCACUAAGUCAAAGGAAUCAAACGGUGGCAAUAGCAACUCUAGCCAUGGAAGCAACCCAUCUACGAACAAUGCAGCUGUCAAUCCACUGGAUAUCACAGUACUACGCGAGAAGAGCAAACAUUUAGAUUUACCGCUAAUCUCUGCGCUCUGCAACGAUCACUCACUGCUUAAACAGACGAAGGUUUUUAACAAUUCUAAAGGGAAUCGCACGGCCACAAGCGCUUCUACAACAAUGAGAAAUGCCAGCAUGCUGCCAGCUUCUCCGAGUAGUAUGCGAAUGUCAUCGGCGAUCAACCAUACCAACAACAGCAAAGCUGUUCAUCAAAGCCUGACAACAAAUUCUGGAGUUUUUGUUGGGAAUGAAUCUGGAAACUCGGUUUCCGCCGCUUCGCCUAUAACGGCUGCUGCUUCUGCUUCGGUCUCAUCUUCGACUUCGGCAUUGGCAACCACAACAACACCAGCAGUGUCAAGUGCUAUGUCAGCCUCCACCACCAAUACAAAAUCUGCCACUUCGGCAUCAUCAACGAUCCAAUUGUCAUCUAGUAAGGGGCGUAGAACAGCUUCGAGCCAUCGUCACCCCAAUGAUAAACUUCCCCCUCUGCCAAUGCAAAUGGCUGAAGCGAACAACUACGUCAUGGAUCCAGCAAUAAUGAAACACCACAAAAGCUACACCCCUCAAAUAUGAAAGGCUAAUACAAAUGCGAUGUUUGAUGCAGAAACGCAAAAAGGUUAAAAAAAGUUCUGUUAGAAAAAGAAGCUAAAAACGAAAGCAGAGAAGAGUAAUGAAAUAUAAAACGAUGUUUACUCAAAUCUUUGGCAUACUAAGGCUACGAACGGCACUAGGUGCAUUUAAAUGCAAUCCCAUGUAUUUGCCAAACGUAAACACUGCUUCCACCUUGAAGCCGAAACGAAAGAGGUAUGUACAUGUAUACGUACAGCGGAGGUAUAACAUCUUUUUCGAGAUUUCUUUUGUUCGCGUGUUACUUUCUAUUCCUAAAUGAAAACCACGCCGAACGACAACUACAAACAUAUGAAAGUAAAUAAUUCUCGUAACUUGUAUCUCUUUAGACUUCACUUCGAUAAGAAACAACGAUCCUUCACAGUGUUUAGGUGGAAGCUUCGAAGACCUUUUUUUUCUAUAGCGUAUGCGUACUAGCCAAGGUCACAAAGUGCACACCCAGAAAACUUUCAAAAAUUUAAAGACAAAAAUCCCUUGAAAGAAAUUAUACACACACACAAAUGUAUUUUAUUUAGACGAAAGCCACCUUUCAUUGACAGCCGAGUCUACGUUCCCGAACGGAUGCGGCGAGUCGAUUUUAGAAAAAGUGUCACUUCAAUAACAUUCCCCUGUUACAAAAAUAAAACUCCUUGACACAUCAAAAUAAAUGAGAAAAUACAAAUCCAGAACUUAAGCAUAAUCAUGCACGCGCCGAAGUGCAGACCAACUAUCGAUAGCCUAACAUCCUUAACUAACUUCCCGGAACAUUAAAUUAUUACAGGUUUUCGUGCUGACGAAUUGCUCGUCGCACAUUAUUUGAGGGCACCUGUCUUCACAUAUACUUACAUACCAGUGCAUAAAGUACAUACACAACAUUUCCAAGAAAUCUGAAAAAAGUUGAACUAUUUCUAUGUUCAAAACUGACCUCAUUUCAUGUAAAUUAUUAAAUGAAAAGAAAAACACUUUAAUCUAGUCACUUUUAGAAAUUCAUAAAACAAACAAACAAACAAAUAAGCAAGCAAAAGACGGAAGAUAACACAAAUACUCAAGUUUGAAAUAUUUUUUUUAUUAUUUCAAAUAUUUAAUUCGAGCUGACAAUGCAAUUAAGAAUUAAAUGUAUUUUUUAAUAUUUAUUGUUGUUGUAGUCCAUAACUAACUUGUGUCAUACACAAGUUUUUAUUCGUAUUUAUGUUUUUUUUUUUAAUCUUUCCACUUUUUUCAUGCACGUAGCCACUACAGAGUACGAGCAUAUAUACAUAUCUCACAAAGCAUAUAGGAAUGUAUGAAACAAAAACAGUAACAAAAAUUAAUAAUACACUCACACAUACAUACAUAUCAUAAACGAAAUCCGCCCAAACAACUGUGAUCGAUUUUUUAUUUUUAUUUUAUUUUUUGAUUUUAAUUUGCAUACUUAAACGCUUUACAAUUGAAAGUUUCGAGAAGAUCGAACGAGAGUAGAGAUGCUUUACUUUCUUUAACAAUGUUUUCCUAAAGAGGAAUACUCGUAACAACUACGCCAUUACAUACAUAUAGCAGUUAAGUUCACCAAGAGCGUGAAGUUUAGGCUUAAGCAAAGUGCAAAAAACACGAAGCGAACAAAACAAAUCCAAAUGAUCGAAUUGCCGAGCUUUGCAUGUCACAACAAAUGGCAAUUUAUGCAUAAAAGGCAUAAGCCAAGCCAAUAGCAAUGCAAUCAAACCUCUUUUAGUUUCAUAGCGCUUAGGGUGUAAGUGAGCAAAUACUCCAAGUAUUGCGUAUUUUUUUAGAAUAUUUGAGAUUUUAAAAUAUGCAAAAUGCAUUUAAGUGAAUAUUGCCUAGACUUGCCCUACCGUACGUUACGUAGUGCAUAGAGCUUUUCAACGCAGCUAAACUGAAAAAGUGAAAGUGUAACACUUCACACACACAAUUACGUAUACAUGUGUAAUUAUAUGUUUGGGGGCAGCCUAUAACGAAUCGGAAGUGAUAGAAAUAGGCGUGCCCAAAAGGAAGAUCAAGUUAUUCCAGAAGCAGGCCGUUGACAGAUGGCCAACACGGAUACCUGCAAAAUAACUAAACAAACGUGGCCCAAUUUCAAUAAAUCCAGAACCGAUGAGUUGUUGAGCAAGCCACAAGCAGAAUUAUUCAGAAUUACGUCAACUCAAGCUGGCCACUGCCAUUUGGGAGACCGUGCAGGGAAGAUGGGGUGGCCGUACAACAAUAGAUGUAGAAACUGCAAUCAAGAAUAAUUUAAGGAAACAGUCUUUCACUAUCUGUGUGAGUGCCCAAGUCUGGGUGCUCUACAACAAAAAAAUGCUGUGGGGAAUCUCGGUGGUCAACUUGAAAGAAAUUGCAGAAAAGAAAAUAGACUGCAUAGACAGAUUAAUAGUGUAAAUCCAGAUGGUUCGACUAGUAAAAAACAGUGGUUCUACAAGUGGUGUAUAAAAAUGGCUUCAUUUGCGCUAAUUGGAUCUGGGCUGUGUCAAUCAGACAACUCUUCCACCACCACCAUAAUAAUGAAUAUGAAGUAAAAAACUUGUGUAACGAAUAACAGGUCAUCCUAUUUUGUAAGUAAACACCAGUAAAUUAUCGCGAAAGGCAUUUUGCUUAUAAGUUUGUUGAUUAUUGAAUCUAAUUUCAUUAUUUAAAUUUGUAUGUAAAGUAACAAAUGGGUGACGGUUCCAUGUUUGAUUUUUCGAACAAUUCCUUUUUGGCAUUAUUUUUGGCCAGAAAAUUUUGUGUAUAAUCCUCAGACAGCGUUUGUCAAAAGCUUGUAAGCGACUGGUUAUGGCGGUGGUGAUUUUCCAGAUAGAGCUA